GUCCUUACAAUGAAAUGCAGCUGGAUUAUCUUCCUGAUGGCAGUGGUUACAGGGGUCCAUUCAGAGGUCCAGCUGCAGCAGUCUGGGGCUGAGCUUGUGAGUCCUGGGGCCUCAGUCAAGUUGUCCUGCAAGGCUUCUGGCUACACAUUUACAGACUACUAUAUGCACUGGGUGAAGCAGAGGCCUGAACAGGGUCUGGAGUGGAUUGGAAGGAUUGAUCCUGAGGAUGGUGAUACUGCAUAUGCACCUGAGUUCCAGGGCAAGGCCACACUGACUGCAGACACAUCCUCCAACACAGCCUACAUGCAGCUGAGCAGCCUGACAUCUGAGGACACUGCGGUCUAUUUCUGUGCUAGACACAGUGUUGCAACCACAUCCUGA